ensembl:snoRNA LOC120096406 small nucleolar RNA SNORA17
CCUGCCCCUAGAGCCAUUGCAGAUGUGGCUGCUGUGUCGCCAGUAGGUGGCAGAGAGGAGAGAGGCUGCGUCCAAACUCUGUUCUGACCUGUGAACACCUGAAUGGUUAGCAGCCGGAGAUG